rnacentral:rRNA from 1 species
AGAGUUUGAUCCUGGCUCAGGAUGAACGCUGGCGGUGUGUCUAAGGCAUGCAAGUCGAAUGCUAGUAGCAAUACUGGCAUGGCAAACGGGAGAGUAACACAUUGGUAACCUACCUCGAAGACGGGGAUAACCUUGCGAAAGCGAGAAUAAUACCCGAUAGUAUGUCAGAACUCAAGUUCUGCCAUUAAAGCUCCGACGCUUCGAGAGGGGCCUAUGUCCUAUCAGCUUGUUGGUAAGGUAAUGGCUUACCAAGGCUAUGACGGGUAGCGGGCGCGAGAGCGUGACCCGCCUCACUGGGACUGAGAACUGCCCAGACUCCUACGGGAGGCUGCAGUCAAGAAUCUUCCUCAAUGGGCGAAAGCCUGAAGGAGCGACACCGCGUGCAUGAAGAAGCCUUUCGGGGUGUAAAGUGCUUUUAUCAGGGACGAAUCAAUGACGGUACCUGAUGAAUAAGGGGCUGCUAACCUCGUGCCAGCAGCAGCGGUAAUACGAGGGCCCCAAGCGUUAUCCGGAUUUAUUGGGCGUAAAGCGUCCGUAGGUGGUUUAUCGCAUCUCCUGUUAAAUCCCGAGGCUCAACCUCGGGCCAGCGGGAGAGAUGGACAAACUAGAGAUCGGAAGAGGCAAACGGAAUUGCUGGUGUAGGGGUUAAAUCCAUUAAUAUCAGCAAGAACACCAAAUGCGAAGGCAGUUUGCUAGGACGAUUCUGACACUCAGUGGACGAAAGCGUGGGGAGCGAAUGGGAUUAGAUACCCCAGUAGUCCACGCCGUAAACGAUGGAUACUAAGCAUUGGCAGUAUCGACCCUGCCAGUGUUGUUAAUUUAAGGUAACCC